GAUGGAAAGGCAUGAAGUUUUCAAUUCGCGGAGAUUCCCGGCUUCCGAGAAGAGAGCUCAACGUAACACAACGGCGAAGAAAACUCUCGCGGACUGUGCGUGAGAUCGGCAACACCCACGUCGCCUAACCAGCAGCUUUCACAUUUCCCAUAACCGCGACCGAGUGCGAUUCCACGCCUAAGAUUCCCGGCCGAACGGGAGUCGUCGGCUCAUCGCUUCCUUACUGAUGAGGAGUCGUGCGAAUCGGCGACUGUUUUACGCAACGUCGACGAAACGACGAGAGUCGCUCUGACGGGGAGGCGGAAACAAGAUCUCAUGGGUUACCUCAUUCCGCGCGUAUUGUGCGCAACGUAUUGCAAUUAAAAUCUCCGUCUGUUCGAUAUUGCGACGGAGAAAUCACGCACAAAAAAGCGGAUAGUGCGAAAUAUCGGGCGUUGCGUAAUGAAGAUUUGGGUCAAGUGAGCAAAAUCGUAUCAAGGAUAUGGUAACGAAAACGAUCAAGAUAAAUUCGGAAAGGACGAAGAUUCUUAGGAUGCUCGGGGAAAGUCCCGGGUGAUAAAAUCCGCAAGGUAAUCGCGCAACACUGUCACUCGACUUCGAAGAAUCACGAAUGGAAUCCGUUAUUGGCUUACCAGUAUCAUCGUGCUGCGAAGAAUACGCACUUUUAUACAGCGGUUUUUAUCGUCAGCGAUCAACUUGACGAAUCAGCUGGUCGGAAGGACAGAUGGAAGCACGUUUCACCUUGCUUUGAAAGACUGCAAUGGCUUAAAGAUUAAAGCUAGACAGGAUUAUUUUAUCGAUUGUCUUACUUUCUCCAUUCUGCGCUUCAAAAGACCUCCCAGUUUGCAACUU
rnacentral:lncRNA from 13 species